AACGAACGCUGGCGGCGUGCCUAACACAUGCAAGUCGUGCGAGAAAGUUCCUUCGGGAGCGAGUAAAGCGGCGCACGGGUGAGUAACACGUAGGUAACCUGCCCCCCAGUCUGGAACAACUAGAGGAAACUCUAGCUAAUGCCGGAUGAGACCACGAUCCCUUCGGGGGUUGCGGCCAAAGAUGGCCUCUACUUGUAAGCUAUCGCUGAGGGAUGGGCCUGCGGGCCAUUAGCUUGUUGGUGAGGUAACGGCUCACCAAGGCUGUGAUGGCUAGCUGGUCUGAGAGGAUGACCAGCCACACUGGGACUGAGACACGGCCCAGACUCCUACGGGAGGCAGCAGUGGGGAAUAUUGCGCAAUGGGCGAAGCCUGACGCAGCGACGCCGCGUGGU
rnacentral:rRNA from 1 species